rnacentral:rRNA from 1 species
UACGUAGGUGGCAAGCGUUGUCCGGAAUUAUUGGGCGUAAAGCGCGCGCAGGCGGUUCCUUAAGUCUGAUGUGAAAUCCCACGGCUCAACCGUGGAAGUGCACCCGAAACUGCGCAGCUAGAGUCCUGGAGAGGAAGGCGGAAUACUUGGUGUAGAGGUGAAAUUCGUAGAUAUCAAGUGGAACACCGGUGGCGAAGGCGGCCUUCUGGACAGUGACUGACGCUGAGACGCGAAAGCGUGGGGAGCAAACAGG